AGGGGUGGACAAAACACCACCGUCCGAAACAAUCCGUCCGAACCGAACUGGAUUUUGGCAAACGGGUCGGAUAAUUUCGGGUUGCGGAUUCCAACGGUUCAUUGAUUUGGAUUACAUCGGAUGAUUACGGACGGGUUCGGUUGGUAUUAUUUGGUCCGUCGGAAUCCGAAUCCGACCGAACAUACACAUAUGAGAGCUGGACUUUCAGAGCUGGACUUUCAAUUAAUCUUGGCCCAAGCUAUCUCUCAAUUUAUGGCCCAGAGUAAAUGUUCAUAAAGGAAGCUUCGUUGUCGUCGCUCGCCGUCGCUUGCAAACCUAUCUGUUGCAUAUCUAUUCGUUCCUCUCUGAUCCAUGAUUAAGUUUUUUGUAUUUCUCUUGUGCAGAUCUACGACUUCAAUCGCAUUCCUUGGAGCUCUUAAUCUCAUAGAUAUAUUAUAUUAUGGUUUGGUUUGUUUUUGUAACAGGUGUUUUUAACUUUAUCAAUGUAAAUUAUGUUUCUUAAUUUUUUUGUGUUUUUUCCAUAACUUAACUUAUUUUUUUCAACAGGGAAGGGCUUUAUAACAAGCAGAAGAAGCAGGGAUUUGAAGCAUGAAGCAUAUUUGAAGCUGAUCUCAUGUAGAUUUGAAGCUGAUCAGAUCUGAAGGGGAUUUGAAGUAGAUCUGAAUGGGAUUGGAAACAGAUCUAAAGCAAGGAUUAUUUAGUUAAAAACUAUGUUUGAUUAUGCAGAUCUGGGUGAUGAACUAAUUUUCACCAUAAGAGGCGAUUCAACUGCUUGAAUGAAAUGAAGACAACAUGUGGAUAAAUAUCUGCAACAAGUUGACUUCUAUAAGCAUGGCUUUAGUGAUUCUAAAGGGGUAGUGAACUUGAGUGUUUUUACUACUUGGAAUCACAUUUUCUGAAGCAUUAUUACUUGAAAUCACAUUUUCCAGAAUAUUUUGAUGAUUUAAACAGUGGGAUUUUAGUGGCAGAUGAUUUAAGCUGUGAAUUUCAUGAAGUUCUUGUAGGAGAAUUCUGUUUCAAAACUGUCUUAUUUUUUUUUUUUUGUAUUUUUGAUGAUUUAUUAUUUUGUAUGAAAAAAUGGAACACAAUAGUGUUCUAAAUAAAAAUAACCAUAUUGUGUUGUAAUUGGGCCAUUUUUGAAAACAUGAAAUAUGUUGUAUGAAAAAAAUCGAACACAAUAACUCAAUUUUGGAAAUAAUUAGUAAUUUUUUUAUCCAAGU